CAAAACAUUCAGGACUAUUUUAAGUCAACGACCAUUUGCGGCCGCCAAAAUCUUAUCUCCAAAUCUCUCUGUCAUCUCUCAGACCCUAGCGGCCUCCAUAUUCCCCUCGGAUCGGCCGCCUCACUUCGAGCCUUCAAUCCCGACGAUGACGCAAAGCUUUGUAAUCGGCUGCCGGCCUUCCUCUCUCAUCUCCUCGUCCACUCCCGUCGUUCCAGGUCUCUGCUCCUCGGGUCUGAUUUGCAGAGACAUAAGAUCUGAUCGGAGGUCGAGAUCCCAGCGGUAGUGUCAUCGGUAAGUACUAUUCAAAUCCUCUACUGCCCUUGUUCGAUUUUUGGAUUUUUAUCAUUUUAGAUGGCGUUUUUAAUCUCGUUUCUUUUUAUGGUUUCGAGCUAGGAAGAACGGAGGACGCUACAAUCGUGCUCGCUUAUCAGGUAAAGAACGAUGGUGUGACGUUAUGUCCUCAUUAUGCGAAAUUUUCUGUGUACUCUCCUUGCUUUACUGGCUUGUAAUAUAUUUCCAAUCAUGUUCUCAUGUUCUUAAACAAGCAGGGGUUAGUAAUAGAUGGGAGAAGGAGGAUGUGGAGGUAUUGGUUCAACCAGGGGAUUCGGCCGGGAAAAACAGGAGUAUGAAUCGAAAUUUCGAGCUGUAAUAAACUUGUUAGAGAGCGGGUACUGUACAUAUGUGACUCUAAUUUGCAAGGCCUGAUAACUUCAUAGCUAUUGAUUUUAUAUUGUUUGUUCUUAUUAUAUAACACUGAUUUGUUCAUUGAUUGCUUUAUAUGGGAAAUUAAACUUGCUCUCUUUCACUAUAUUCAAAUUGUCUUCCAUGAUGAUUAGAGGAAACAAUCAUAUUGAAAGCCGGUUUUGGAACGUGCUCUGCAUCUAAAAACUCCAAAGCUACUGCUGCAAAAAAUGGCUUUGAGUUAUGUUUAUUUUGAUGACUAUGACUUGGUGGUAUAGAGUAGUAUAGGGUAAUUCCGAGCAGAGAUGUUAAUCCGAAUUUGGUUUGGUUCGGAUGUGUAUUGGUUUUAUGAUGGAUUGGUGAUGACUUGUGAUGGCAAAAUAAUGAUGGUUUUUGUGGAUUUUGAUGGUUGAAUUCGUGAUAGUAAUAACUUGGUUGUUGUAAUGAUUUUCGUGAGUUGGUAAUGACUGAGUUUUGGGACGAUUUUGGCAAAGUAUGAUAGCGAUUUUGGUGUAAAUGAUGGCUGAGUUUGGUAGUAAUACUGCAUAUUAGUGUGGGCUGAUUUAAUGAUGAUUUUUGUUGAGAUUUGACGAUAAUAUUGGCCGAGUUAAAUGGUUAUUUAAGCUGAGUUUUGAUGAUGACUUUGAUGUGAUUUCAGGGUAGUUUUGUGAGGAUAAGGAGGCUGAUUUUGUGUGGGUUUUGAGCUGAUUUUAGUGAAGCAGUGCUGCUGAUUUUGGGUUACUUGGGGAGGGUUUUAUACUUGGAUGAUAGCUGAUUUUUGUGGUAGUUCACUAGAGUUUUGUAGUGAUUUUGAUAUGAGAAACUUGGCAAACUUCAUGGUGAUAUUGGCUGUUCGUAUGCUUUAAUUGUUGGCUGCAUGCUAAACUCUAGCUAGAGGUAUGUCUUCUAAAUAUUCCAAGCACCCAAAUAUCAUCUAGAUCAUAACUAGUAAUUGAACUCUCAAAAGAGGUCUUGUAAAGGGCCUUCUAGCAUAAAAUUUAUCACAUGAAAUCCUUUUUGAAUCUACAUGAGGGAUUAUAAUCUGUUUUUACUCCGCUCAAAUUCUUGUUAAAUUCAUAUCGUAUUCUCGUCAUUCCUUAUUAGUCAUAGAGGAUUAAGGUUAGGGUUAGUGGUGCUUCUCACCACCACUAAUCCAUUGUAAGUCCGAAAUUGUACUUUCAAUCGAAACAUGUUGUGAUGAUAGUAAUGACAAGUUAUACUACUAGUAAAUUAGAAUGGCUUUUUGCUUUGUAUACCUUUCACCUUUGGAUGUGUCGAUUAGUGUUUGGGAUGGUCAUUCACGUUAUGACUUCUUUUCCUUCCGAGGUUAUUUGAGCGAGGCUUGCU
rnacentral:lncRNA from 1 species